rnacentral:rRNA from 1 species
GAUGAACGCUGGCGGCGUGCCUAAUACAUGCAAGUCGAGCGAACGGACGAGAAGCUUGCUUCUCUGAUGUUAGCGGCGGACGGGUGAGUAACACGUGGAUAACCUACCUAUAAGACUGGGAUAACUUCGGGAAACCGGAGCUAAUACCGGAUAAUAUUUUGAACCGCAUGGUUCAAAAGUGAAAGACGGUCUUGCUGUCACUUAUAGAUGGAUCCGCGCUGCAUUAGCUAGUUGGUAAGGUAACGGCUUACCAAGGCAACGAUGCAUAGCCGACCUGAGAGGGUGAUCGGCCACACUGGAACUGAGACACGGUCCAGACUCCUACGGGAGGCAGCAGUAGGGAAUCUUCCGCAAUGGGCGAAAGCCUGACGGAGCAACGCCGCGUGAGUGAUGAAGGUCUUCGGAUCGUAAAACUCUGUUAUUAGGGAAGAACAUAUGUGUAAGUAACUGUGCACAUCUUGACGGUACCUAAUCAGAAAGCCACGGCUAACUACGUGCCAGCAGCCGCGGUAAUACGUAGGUGGCAAGCGUUAUCCGGAAUUAUUGGGCGUAAAGCGCGCGUAGGCGGUUUUUUAAGUCUGAUGUGAAAGCCCACGGCUCAACCGUGGAGGGUCAUUGGAAACUGGAAAACUUGAGUGCAGAAGAGGAAAGUGGAAUUCCAUGUGUAGCGGUGAAAUGCGCAGAGAUAUGGAGGAACACCAGUGGCGAAGGCGACUUUCUGGUCUGUAACUGACGCUGAUGUGCGAAAGCGUGGGGAUCAAACAGGAUUAGAUACCCUGGUAGUCCACGCCGUAAACGAUGAGUACUAAGUGUUAGGGGGUUUCCGCCCCUUAGUGCUGCAGCUAACGCAUUAAGCACUCCGCCUGGGGAGUACGACCGCAAGGUUGAAACUCAAAGGAAUUGACGGGGACCCGCACAAGCGGUGGAGCAUGUGGUUUAAUUCGAAGCAACGCGAAGAACCUUACCAAAUCUUGACAUCCUUUGACAACUCUAGAGAUAGAGCUUUCCCCUUCGGGGGACAAAGUGACAGGUGGUGCAUGGUUGUCGUCAGCUCGUGCCGUGAGAUGUUGGGUUAAGUCCCGCAACGAGCGCAACCCUUAAGCUUAGUUGCCAUCAUUAAGUUGGGCACUCUAAGUUGACUGCCGGUGACAAACCGGAGGAAGGUGGGGAUGACGUCAAAUCAUCAUGCCCCUUAUGAUUUGGGCUACACACGUGCUACAAUGGACAAUACAAAGGGCAGCGAAACCGCGAGGUCAAGCAAAUCCCAUAAAGUUGUUCUCAGUUCGGAUUGUAGUCUGCAACUCGACUACAUGAAGCUGGAAUCGCUAGUAAUCGUAGAUCAGCAUGCUACGGUGAAUACGUUCCCGGGUCU